UGAGGAAUAUUGCGCAAUGGGCGAAAGCCUGACGCAGCGACGCCGCGUGGAGGAUGAAGGUUUUCGGAUUGUAAACUCCUGUUAAGUGGGAAGAAACGACAAAAUAUAAUACAUUUUGUAACUGACGGUACCAUUAAAGAAAGCACCGGCUAACUUCGUGCCAGCAGCCGCGGUAAUCGAGGGGUGCAAGCGUUAUUCGGAAUUAUUGGGCGUAAAGGGGUGCGUAGGCGGCGUAUUAAGUCAACUGUUAAACCUCCAGCCUAACUGGAGAUCAGCAGUAGAUACUGGUAUGCUAGAGGAUGGAAGAGAGAAGUGGAAUUCUUGGAGUAGCGGUGGAAUGCGUAGAUCUCAAGAGGAACACCAAUGGCGAAGGCAGCUUCUUGGUCCAUAUCUGACGCUGAUGCACGAAAGCGUGGGGAGCAAAACAGGAUUAGAUACCCUGGUAGUCCACGCCGUAAACGAUGAUACUAGAUGUUAAUUCUGCUUGC
rnacentral:rRNA from 1 species